AUGAAGAUACUUACUUCCCAA
rnacentral:snRNA from 1 species